GACGAUCGCUGGCGGCGUGCCUAAUACAUGCAAGUAGAACGCAGUGGCGGACGGGUGAGUACCACGUGGGUAACUGCCUCAUAGCGGGGGAUAACUAUUGGACACGAUAGCUAAUACCGCAUACUGUGAGAUGGACCUGCGUGGUCUUGGCUAGUUGGUGAGGUAAAGGCUCGCCAAGGCGACGAUACAUAGCCGACCGGAGAGGGUGGUCGGCCACACUGGUACGGAGGCACGGCCCAUGAGCCUGCGGGGGGCAGCAGUAGUGAAUCUUCGGCAAUGGAGGGAAGUCUGACCGAGCAACGCCGCGUGAGUGACGAAGGUGUUCGGAUCGGAGAGCUCUGUUGUUAGAGAAGCGGUAACUAGCCAGAAAGGGACGGCUAACUACGUGCCAGCAGCCGCGGUAAUU
rnacentral:rRNA from 1 species